UAAUACAGAGGUGGCGAACGUUGUUCGGAUUUACUGGGCGUAAAGGGUCCGCAGGCGGUCCGGUGUGUCAGAUGUGAAAGCCCACAGCUUAACUGUGGAAAUGCAUUUGAAACUGCCGGACUAGAGUACUGGAGGGGAGAAGGGAACACUUGGUGUAGCGGUGAAAUGCGUAGAUAUCAAGUGGAACACCGGCGGCGAAGGCGCUUCUCUGGACAGAUACUGACGCUCAUGGACGAAAGUUAGGGUAGCGAAAGGGAUUAGAUACCCCUGUAGUCCUAACCGUAAACGGUGUGCACUAGACGUGGGUGGAUUUACCCCCAUCCGUGUCUGAGCUAACGCAUUAAGUGCACCGCCUGGGGAGUACGGUCGCAAGAUUA
rnacentral:rRNA from 1 species